CCGAGUUAUACAACUCAUCAACCCUGUGAACAUACCUAAACGUUGCUUCGGCGGGAACAGACGGCCCCGUGAAACGGGCCGCCCCCGCCAGAGGACCCCUAACUCUGUUUCUAUAAUGUUUCUUCUGAGUAAAACAAGCAAAAUAAAUCA
rnacentral:misc_RNA from 1 species